AGUGAACGCUGGCGGUAGGCCUAACACAUGCAAGUCGAACGGCAGCACAGUAAGAGCUUGCUCUUACGGGUGGCGAGUGGCGGACGGGUGAGGAAUACAUCGGAAUCUACUUUUUCGUGGGGGAUAACGUAGGGAAACUUACGCUAAUACCGCAUACGACCUACGGGUGAAAGCAGGGGAUCUUCGGACCUUGCGCGAUUGAAUGAGCCGAUGUCGGAUUAGCUAGUUGGCGGGGUAAAGGCCCACCAAGGCGACGAUCCGUAGCUGGUCUGAGAGGAUGAUCGGCCACACUGGAACUGAGACACGGUCCAGACUCCUACGGGAGGCAGCAGUGGGGAAUAUUGGACAAUGGGCGCAAGCCUGAUCCAGCCAUACCGCGUGGGUGAAGAAGGCCUUCGGGUUGUAAAACCCUUUUGUUAGGAAAGAAAAGCAGCAGGUUAAUACCCCGCUGUUCUGACGGUACCCAAAGAAUAAGCACCGGCUAACUUCGUG
rnacentral:rRNA from 1 species